rnacentral:rRNA from 1 species
CCUACGGGUGGCUGCAGUGGGGAAUAUUGGACAAUGGGGGGAACCCUGAUCCAGCCAUGCCGCGUGUGUGAAGAAGGCCCUCGGGUUGUAAAGCACUUUCAGUGAGGAAGAACGCCUGGUGGUUAAUACCCAUCAGGAAAGACAUCACUCACAGAAGAAGCACCGGCUAACUCCGUGCCAGCAGCCGCGGUAAUACGGAGGGUGCGAGCGUUAAUCGGAAUUACUGGGCGUAAAGCGCGCGUAGGUGGCUUGGUAAGCCGGUUGUGAAAGCCCCGGGCUCAACCUGGGAACGGCAUCCGGAACUGUCAAGCUAGAGUGCAGGAGAGGAAGGUAGAAUUCCCGGUGUAGCGGUGAAAUGCGUAGAGAUCGGGAGGAAUACCAGUGGCGAAGGCGGCCUUCUGGACUGACACUGACACUGAGGUGCGAAAGCGUGGGUAGCAAACAGGAUUAGAUACCCGAGUAAGUC